GUUGAACGCUGGCGGCAGGCCUAACACAUGCAAGUCGAACGAGCGGCGGACGGGUGCGUAAUGUCUGGGAAACUGCCUGAUAGCGGGGGAUAACUACUGGAAACGGUAGGUAAUACCGCAUACCAUCCGAUUUGCCCAGAUGGGAUUAGCUAGUAGGUGGGGUAACGGCUCACCUAGGCGACGAUCCCUAGCUGGUCUGAGAGGAUGACCAGCCACACGGGGACUGAGACACGGCCCAGACUCCUACGGGAGGCAGCAGUGGGGAAUAUUGCACAAUGGGCGCAAGCCUGAUGCAGCCACGCCGCGUGUAUGAAGAAGGCCUUCGGGUUGUAAAGUACUUUCAGCGAGGAGGCGUUACUCGCAGAAGAAGCAACGGCUAACUACGUGCCAGCAGCCGCGGUAAUAC
rnacentral:rRNA from 1 species